rnacentral:rRNA from 1 species
GACGAACGCUGGCGGCGUGCUUAACACAUGCAAGUCGAACGGAAAGGCCUGCUUUCCCUUGUGGAUUGCGGGUACUCGAGUGGCGAACGGGUGAGUAACACGUGAGUGAUCUGCCCCCAACUUGGGUAUAAGCCUGGGAAACUGGGUCUAAUUCCCGAUAGGACUGCAGGGUGGUGCCUGUGGUGGAAAACGAUUUUCUAGUGGUUGGGGAUGAGCUCGCGGCCUAUCAGCUUGUUGGUGGGGUAAUGGCCUACCAAGGCGGCGACGGGUAGCCGGCCUGAGAGGGGGGACGGCCACAGUGGGACUGAGAGACGGCCCAGACUCCUACGGGAGGCAGCAGUGGGGAAGAUUGCACAACGGGCGGAAGCCUGAUGCAGCGACGCCGCGUGGGGGAUGACGGCCUUCGGGUGGUAAACUCCUUUCGACCGCGAGGAAGCCACCUGGUUGGAAGGGUGGUGACGGUAGUGGUAGAAGAAGCACCGGCUAACUACGUG